rnacentral:snRNA from 1 species
AUGUAAGGGCUAUCUGACUGGACAUCUGUCACCUCAUUGAUUGCCAGGGUUGAUAAGGCUGACCUGUCUGGUUAGCCAAAGGUUCCUUUCUCUCUUACCAUU